CUCUUUUAAGUGUCAUUCCAGAAAGUUUAGGAAACAGUUUUCAAGUUAUUGAGGUUAGCUUUCGAAUAUGAGAUGAGCAUCACAACACACUGACCUAUGCGCUUCACAUGAACAUCUCGAUUGAAGCUGACACGUGGUCCGCCAUUAGCUGUCGAUGUCCCUGUUCCUGGCCCUGUUCCUGGCCCUGACAAGUGCAUUUGUUGUGGUAACAGUUUGGCAGGCAUCGCGGCGGUUGUGAUUGAUGUGUUGUUGUUAUUGUUGCUGGUUUGCUGGGAUCUCUGAUGUUGGGGAUCGCUUAUUGCUUAUUGUCAC